UACGGAGGGUGCAAACGUUGCUCGGAAUCAUUGGGCGUAAAGCGCACGUAGGCGGUCAUCUAAGUCGGGUGUGAAAGCCCUGGGCUCAACCCAGGAAGAGCACUCGAAACUGAAUGGCUUGAGUAUGGAAGAGGGUCGCGGAAUUCCCGGUGUAGAGGUGAAAUUCGUAGAUAUCGGGAGGAACACCAGUGGCGAAGGCGGCGACCUGGGCCAAUACUGACGCUGAGGUGCGAAAGCGUGGGGAGCAAACAGG
rnacentral:rRNA from 1 species